CGGGUGAGUAACACGUGGAUAACCUACCUAUAAGACUGGGAUAACUUCGGGAAACCGGAGCUGAUACCGGAUAAUAUAUUGAACCGCAUGGUUCAAUAGUGAAAGACGGUUUUGCUGUCACUUAUAGAUGGAUCCGCGCCGCAUUAGCUAGUUGGUAAGGUAACGGCUUACCAAGGCAACGAUGCGUAGCCGACCUGAGAGGGUGAUCGGCCACGCUGGAACUGAGACACGGUCCAG
rnacentral:rRNA from 1 species